rnacentral:pre_miRNA from 1 species
GUACUACUCCCUCCGACCCAUAUUACUUGUCUCAAAUUUGCCCAAAUAUGGAUGUGUCUAUGUUUAAAGUGUCUAGAUACAUGUAAUAUUUCGACAAGUAUAUGGGUCGGAGGGAGUAGUUC